rnacentral:rRNA from 1 species
CCUACGGGAGGCAGCAGUAGGGAAUAUUGCUCAAUGGGGGAAACCCUGACGCAGCAACGCCGCGUGGAGGAUGAAGGUUUUCGGAUUGUAAACUCCUUUUGUUAGAGAAGAUAAUGACGGUAACUAACGAAUAAGCACCGGCUAACUCCGUGCCAGCAGCCGCGGUAAUACGGAGGGUGAAAGCGUUAAUCGGAAUCACUGGGCGAAAGGUGCGCGUAGGCGGGUUAGCAAGUCAGAUGUGAAAUCCUAUGGCUUAACCAUAGAAGUGAAUUGGAAACUGGUAGUCUAGAGUACGGGAGAGGUAGGUGGAAUUCUUGGUGUAGGGGUAAAAUCCGUAGAGAUCUAGAGGAAUACUCAUGGCGAAGGCGACCUGCUAGAACAUAACUGACGCUGAUGCGCGAAAGCGUGGGGAGCAAACAGGAUUAGAUACCCGAGUAGUC